rnacentral:rRNA from 1 species
UUCCGGUUGAUCCUGCCGGAGGUUACUGCUAUCGGAGUUCGAUUAAGCCAUGCGAGUCUAAAGGUUUCUUCGGAAACCUUGGCGGACUGCUCAGUAACACGUGGAUAACCUACCCUUGGGACUGGAAUAACCCCGGGAAACUGGGGAUAAUACCGGAUAGAUCAGGGAUGCUGGAAUGCACCUUGAUCCAAAGCUCCGGCGCCCAAGGAUGGGUCUGCGGCCUAUCAGGUAGUAGUGGGUGUAACGUACCUACUAGCCAACGACGGGUACGGGUUGUGAGAGCAAGAGCCCGGAGAUGGAUUCUGAGACACGAAUCCAGGCCCUACGGGGUGCAGCAGGCGCGAAACCUUUACAAUGUGCGAAAGCAUGAUAAGGGAACUCCGAGUGCCAGCAUCUAAUGUUGGCUGUCCUUGUGCCUAAAACGCACAAGAUAGCAAGGGCCGGGUAAGACCGGUGCCAGCCGCCGCGGUAACACCGGCGGCCCGAGUGGUAGCCGCUAUUAUUGGGUCUAAAGGGUCCGUAGCCGGUUCGAUAAGUCCUCUGGGAAAUCUGGUUGCUUAACAAUCAGACUGCCAAGGGAUACUGUCGAACUUGAGACCGGGAGAGGUAAGAGGUACUUCAGGGGUAGGAGUGAAAUCUUGUAAUCCCUGGGGGACCAUCUGUGGCGAAGGCGUCUUACCAGAACGGGUCUGACGGUGAGGGACGAAAGCUGGGGGCGCAAACCGGAUUAGAUACCCGGGUAGUCCCAGCCGUAAACGAUGCUCGCUAUGUGUCAGGUACGGUGUGACCGUAUCUGGUGCCGUAGGGAAGCCGUGAAGCGAGCCACCUGGGAAGUACGGCCGCAAGGCUGAAACUUAAAGGAAUUGGCGGGGGAGCACUACAACGGGUGGAGCCUGCGGUUUAAUUGGAUUCAACGCCGGA